rnacentral:pre_miRNA from 1 species
UUUUUACUCCCUCCAUCCAGAAUUACUUGUCGCAAAAAUGGAUAUAUUUAGACGUAUUUUAGUUCUAGAUACAUUAAUUUUUAUGAAUUUUUUCUAUGAUAAGUAAUUUGGGACGGAAGGAGUAGAAA